AGAUGUCUGGUUGCUGUGUUGUGUUUGGGAGAUAAAUGCCAGGGUUCCUUUGAAUCCUGAAUUUAAAUAAAAGAAGGGGGGUGCUGAGGAGAAGCCUCUGUUGGGCAGAGGUACCUUCCAGAUCUCGAUCUCCUUCCUUGAUACCCAGCCCCCACAACCCCCACUCCAGGGACAGGGUGCUCCUCCCAGGCAGGGGGCUCUGAAGUGGGAGAGGAAGCCACAGGCAGGCCUGGGAUGAGGUCUUGCUCCCCGAUUGCCAUCAGAAGGAGGCUUCGAAGACUUGCACCUGGAUUCUACCUUCCCACGGCAGAUAGAAUUCCCUGACUUUCUCCCAUUUCCCAGAGAUCCUCCUCCCCUGCAAGCUGGCGCAUGUGGAUAUUGGCUCUGUUUGCCUUUGACCCCUAGUGAAAGAAAAUACUGAGGUAACGCUUGACUGGGGAGCAUGGACACAGGCAGAUGCAAAUGGGGUGCCAGCUGGGGCCAGGGCAGGGGUGGGGGGUGAGGAGAGGUCUGGGAGCAGGAAUCUCUCUUCGCUUCUGCCUGCAUUUUAAUCAUAUACUAAUAUCUAUUCUUUUUCCUUUUUUGUUUUUAGACGGAGUCUCGCUCUGUCACCCAGGUUGGAGUGCAGUGGCUAGAUCUCAGCUCACUGCAACUUCUGCCUCCCAGGUUUAAGCAAUUCUCCUGUUUCGGCCUCCAGAGUAGCUGGGACUACAGGCGCGUGCCACCACGCCCUACUAAUUUUUCGUAUUUUUAGGAGAGACGGGCCUUCACCAUGUUGGUCAGGCUGGUCUCGAACUCCUGACCUCAGGUGAUCCACCGGCUUCAGCCUCCCAAAGUGCUGGGAUUACAGGCGUGAGCCACUGCGCCCAGCCUCAUAUCUAUCUUUAUCACUCCAAUUCAGAUCUUCUUCCAUAUAUGGCUCUGUGUGUCUCCUAUCCUUCCCUGUCUCUUCACUGUUUUUCAGCUGGUAUAGACCCCUGUGGGGACAACAGAUCACAGCUUGGUCACCAAUAUGGACAUCUAUGUCUGAGCAGGGCCCACUCCCCGGGGGCCCAUCAGCUCCAUCCCAGCACACUUUACACUGGCCUUGUCUUCACAAAGGACCACAGGUCAUCCUCAAGCCUUCCUCCCAGGCUCUCCUUGUCCUUGAAUACUAAUGUCUAAAGGUCAGCCCAGCUACCACCAGUGUGCCUGUGAUGCACCUCCCCUUCGGAUUGGAGGAAGAAGCUGUGUCCCUCCCAUCAAACAGAGGGUCCCCUUAAAGAUUCUCCUGGUCUCCAGCUUGGGCUCUGCUGGAAAGAAGAGGAAGUAUUUAGCAAGGAUGAAGGUAUGAUGCCCUCCCCACCAUCCAUCUCUCCCUCCAAACCUGUUCAAACUGGAACUUUAACAUUCACCCUCAAUCCAGUAAGCUCAACUUCCUUGAGUCCCUCUUCAGUCCUGUCCUCUCUUUCCCAUAUGGGUUCUUACUUCCCUGAGGCAGCCAGAGAUAAGAAAAGACCAGAAUAUGAAUAUCCAGCAUUCCACAAAGAAUCCUACAGGCAGGGAUAUUGCCCAAUCACCAGUGCCUCGCAUCCCAGUUCUAUCCAAGAUCCAAGCUUGAUAUCCUCCUGAAAGACUUCCUGAAUCAGGUCACCAACAUGGACAUCUGAACUUCCAGAAUCAGGUCACCAUCUUUCUUCUCAUCUCUGGAUGUAUUUAGAGCUCAUUUGUCUGACGGUUUUUGAAUGCUAUUUUUUUUAAAAUAAACUUUUACAAUUUGGGUUUAAUAAUUCUAGAUUUACAGCAAAGUUGAAAAGAAAGUACAGAAAGUUCCCAUGUAUCCCUUAUCCAGUUCCCUUAAUGUUAACAUCCUACAUCGUCAUGGAACAUUUGCCAAAAUGAAGAUGUCAACACUGGUGCUUUGCUGUGAACUAAACUCCAGACUUUAUUCGGAUUUCACGAAUUUUUCUCCUAAGGUCCCUUUUCCGUUCCGGCAUUCCAUCCAGGAUAUCGCAUUGCAUUUGGUGUUUGUGUCUCCUUGGUCUCCUCUGGUUCUUGAGAGUUUCUCAGUCACUCCUUGUUUUUCAUGACUGAAGUUUCAAGGAGUACUGGUCAGGUAUUCCAUAGAAUGUCCUACUGUUCGUUUUCAGCAGUAAAAGCCUUUCCUCAAGCAAAA